rnacentral:misc_RNA from 1 species
UAGAGAUUCACCACUUCACAGAUAU